UAUUUUUUAAUUUUUUUUUGUUUUCUUUAUAUUUUUUUUUUUUUUCCUCUAGGGGUUUUGUGCAAGCCUGAGAAUGGUGGAUGCUGAUGUUAACUCGAAGAUGAGGCAGAAUGAUAUGUUAAUGAA
rnacentral:ribozyme from 1 species